ensembl:lncRNA
ACACUUGCAGACUAUUGGGAUCAAAGAACACAGCUCUAUCAACACAUCAUUACAGAGCCAGUGCGGUGAGACAGGCAGCAGUGGUUCUCGGCAGACAGACGGGCCGGCGGAGGUUUCAGGCAGACAGACGGGCCGGCGGAGGGCUCAGGCAGACAGAUGGGCCGGCGGAGGGCUCAGGCAGACAGACGGGCCGGCGGAGGGCUCAGGCAGACAGACGGGCCGGCGGAGGGCUCAGGAAGACAGACGGGCCGGCGGAGGGCUCAGGAAGACAGACGGGCCGGCGGAGGGGUCAGGCAGACAGACGGGCCGGCGGAGGGGUCAGGCAGACAGACGGGCCGGCGGAGGUCCAUUCUUUCCAGGUCUACCCUCUAACCCAACGCCCCUGGGAAACUAUGCCACGCAGGGCAACCUGAAACCCAUGAUGUCAUCCUCAGGGGGGGAACACUGGCCUAACGGCAGUCAGUGAGAAAGCGUCCCAACCCCAAAAUCAACAUCACACAAUUACUGGGGUUAACUGUAUUUACAGUACAGCAGCUGGCUUGGAUUAGGAAGUCCACUGAUAGAG